AAGGACGGGAGAAAGGAGGGUUAUAUUGGGAGAGAGAGAGAAAGAGCUAAGCCCAUGAUAGAAGAACUUGGCCUGUGUUGGGAUCUUGGCAGUAUCAUAUAUAUGUGUGUGUCUUAUAUAGAAAUUGAAACCCGUAUGCUGCUGCGUAGCGGGUGCGAUUAAAUGUACUAUCUGAUGCAAUGUAUUAAGCAAUGUGAAGGAAAGCUGCCUUGUACGCUGGGGAGCAUCGUCCCUGGUAUGAUUCUCUCUGGUCGUCCAAUUUAUGUUGCCUUUAAAAGGAAAGGAAAGCGGCAUCUCGAUCUUCGAUCUCACUCCCUUCCGUGAGCCCUCCCUGCGAUUGCCCCAUUCUGUGAGCUCCCUCCAUGCGAGAAGACAACGACGGCCAUCGACAAAAGUCAACCACCGUGGAACCAUCGUCGCCCACCGCGGAGCCAUGGUCGCCCACUGCUCAGCCAUUGUCCCUCCGCCUUCAACUGUACGGCUCAGCGAUCGUCCCUCGAUCCACCACCGGCCACCGCUCAGCCAUUGGUAAUCCGCUGUGCUGGAGGCCGAUGGUCGGAUGAAUGUUACUUUUCCUUCGUUAGCUUUUGCUGGUGUUCCCCAAUUCCAUGUGGUUUCUGGACUAAUUGCAUGAACUCCAUGCCUCUUGCAGGCAAAUUGUUUAUACCACAAAAUCCCAUGCCUCCUCUUGGAAUCACGCAUGCAUGCUCUUCUCGACUUCUGACAUAGUAGAUUACCUGUAGCUAGGUCUCUAUGGGACGAGCAGUUACCCUUGAUUAUGGCAGUCCACCAAUUCCAUCACUGAUUCACCAGCAGAACAUAAGAAGAAGAAGAAGAAGAAGAACACAGAACGGAAGGGAAAGGGGCGAAAUCGAGAACAUACCAGUGGUUGAACGGCCGGCGACGGCGGAACAGACCACGGCGUUCGGUCGGAGCAGCGUUAGAGAAAGGGGCGACUCUGUUCGACCUCCGGCACAACGGAUUACCUGUAGCCGGGACGCUAUGGGUCGGGUAGUGAGCCUUGAUUCUGGCAGUCCAGCAAUUUCCUGUCGCUGAUUCACGAGUAAAAGAACAUAAGAAGAAGAGCACAAGAGAAGGGAAGGGAAAGGGUGAAAUCGAGAACAUACCAGUGGCUGAGCGGUGGGCGGUGGUGGAUCUGAGUAUUAUAGUCAAUGGCAGAGGGACGAUGGCUGAGUGGUGGGGAAUGAGGGCUCCGAGGUGGCUAUUUUUUGUCGAUGGCUGUUGUCUUCUCGUAGCGAGGGAGCUCACCGUAUUAGACACUAGUUUGAUUUUUGCAAAUUUGCAGUUGAGACAAAAAAUAAACAGAGAAAAAAAAGGUGAUGAGACAUUUUCGUCGUUUAUAUUUUUUUAUUGUUUUUCUUUCAACCAGAAAAGAUAAAAGGUUGAAUUUUUUGUUUUUUUUUGUUUUCC